rnacentral:lncRNA from 1 species
AUAUCUGGUUCCCCCAGCCUUGCUGCUAUAAAGAAAGGGCUUCAACAGCUCUGGCUGAAGGCUGGGCUCAACUUCAUCAAAGUAUCCCAGGGAUCUUCAAACUUGAAACAAUUCUGUCUGCAGAAUGUUCCACAUGACUUCCUGCUGACUGGGGUAUCUUCGAGUACAAAACUCUCCAGACUCCAGAACGUCUGUUCCCUUUUG